AUAGAACAUCAAAUUUUGCAACCUGGUGUUAUUUGUGCUUCUAGUUUAGUGAGUUUUGAACAAACUUUCCCGUGUUUAUUAGUAAACACGACACAUGAGACACUCAUGAUAAAUAGAACACCUAGAGUGGUAAAACCACCUACACAAU